rnacentral:rRNA from 1 species
UGGGGAAUUUUCCGCAAUGGGGGCAACCCUGACGGAGCCACGCCGCGUGCGGGAGGAAGGCCUUUGGGUUGUAAACCGCUUUUCUCAGGGAAGAAGCUCUGACGGUACCUGAGGAAUCAGCCUCGGCUAACUCCGUGCCAGCAGCCGCGGUAAUACGGAGGAUGCAAGCGUUAUCCGGAAUUAUUGGGCGUAAAGCGUCCGCAGGUGGCACUUCAAGUCUGCUGUCAAAGACCAGAGCUCAAGUCUGGGCAGGCGGUGGAAACUGGGGAGCUAGCGUACGGUAGGGGUAGAGGGAAUUUCCAGUGUAGCGGUGAAAUGCGUAGAGAUUGGAAAGAACACCAGUGGCGAAGGCGCUCUACUGGACCUGUACUGACACUAAGGGACGAAAGCUAGGGGAGCGAAAGGGAUUAGAUACCCCUGUAGUCC